UACGUAGGGUGCAAGCGUUAAUCGGAAUUACUGGGCGUAAAGCGUGCGCAGGCGGCUCUGCAAGACAGAUGUGAAAUCCCUGGGCUUAACCUGGGAACUGCAUUUGUGACUGCAAGGCUAGAGUACGGUAGAGGGGGAUGGAAUUCCGCGUGUAGCAGUGAAAUGCGUAGAUAUGCGGAGGAACACCGAUGGCGAAGGCAAUCCCCUGGACCUGUACUGACGCUCAUGCACGAAAGCGUGGGGAGCAAACAGG
rnacentral:rRNA from 1 species